rnacentral:rRNA from 1 species
UAAGACGAAGGAUGCAAGCGUUAUCCGGAUUCAUUGGGUUUAAAGGGAGCGUAGGCGGUCUUAUAAGUCAGUGGUGAAAGCUCCUCGCUUAACGAGGAAAUUGCCAUUGAUACUGUAGGACUUGAGUACAGUUGCCGUUGGCGGAAUAUGACAUGUAGUGGUGAAAUACAUAGAGAUGUCAUAGAACACCGAUUGCGAAGGCAGCUAACGAAACUGUAACUGACGCUGAGGCUCGAAAGUGCGGGGAUCAAACAGGAUUAGAUACCCUGGUAGUCCGCACUGUAAACGAUGAUUACUCGCUGCUAGAGGGCAACUUUUAGUGGCUUAGCGAAAGCGAUAAGUAAUCCACCUGGGGAGUACGCCGGCAACGGUG